UGGGCUUGAACUGGUAACGCCCUACCCUGAAAGGGGUAUUUUCUUCGGAACGUUAUUAGAGGUGCUGCAUGGCUGUCGUCAGCUCGUGUCGUGAGAUGUUGGGUUAAGUCCCGCAACGAGCGCAACCCUUGCCCUUAGUUGCCAUCAGGUUAUGCUGGGAACUCUAGGGGGACUGCCGCGGCUAACGCGGAGGAAGGUGGGGACGACGUCAAGUCAUCAUGGCCCUUACGUCCAGGGCUACACACGUGCUACAAUGGCCGGUACAACGGGCAGCGAGACAGCGAUGUUAAGCGAAUCCCUUAAAACCGGUCUCAGUUCGGAUUGCAGUCUGCAACUCGACUGCAUGAGGU
rnacentral:rRNA from 1 species